rnacentral:rRNA from 1 species
GUAGUCCACGCCGUAAACGAUGAGUGUUAGGUGUCUGGUGUUAAAACUGGGUGCCGCAGCUAACGCAUUAAACACUCCGCCUGGGGAGUACGCACGCAAGUGUGAAACUCAAAGGAAUUGACGGGGACCCGCACAAGCAGCGGAGCAUGUGGUUUAAUUCGAAGCAACGCGAAGAACCUUACCAAGUCUUGACAUAUUUCGGAGGGAAUUAGAGAUAGUUCCUUAGAGCUUCGGCUCACUGAAAUACAGGUGGUGCAUGGUUGUCGUCAGCUCGUGUCGUGAGAUGUUGGGUUAAGUCCCAUAACGAGCGCAACCCUUAUGGCUAGUUACCAUCAUUAAGUUGGGGACUCUAGCAAUACUGCCGGUGACAAACCGGA